rnacentral:rRNA from 1 species
UACGUAGGGGGCAAGCGUUGUCCGGAUUUAUUGGGCGUAAAGAGCGUGUAGGCGGUUCGGUAGGUCCGUUGUGAAAACUCGAGGCUCAACCUCGAGACGCCGAUGGAAACCCCCGAACUAGAGUCCGGAAGAGGAGAGUGGAAUUCCUGGUGUAGCGGUGAAAUGCGCAGAUAUCAGGAAGAACACCCGUGGCUAAGGCGGCUCUCUAGUACGGUACUGACGCUGAGGAGCGAAAGUGUGGGGAGCGAACAGG